rnacentral:rRNA from 1 species
GACGAACGCUGGCGGCGUGCUUAACACAUGCAAGUCGAACGGAAAGGCCUGCUUUCCCUUGUGGAUUGCGGGUACUCGAGUGGCGAACGGGUGAGUAACACGUGAGUGAUCUGCCCCCAACUUGGGUAUAAGCCUGGGAAACUGGGUCUAAUUCCCGAUAGGACUGCAGGGUGGUGCCUGUGGUGGAAAACGAUUUUCUAGUGGUUGGGGAUGAGCUCGCGGCCUAUCAGCUUGUUGGUGGGGUAAUGGCCUACCAAGGCGGCGACGGGUAGCCGGCCUGAGAGGGUGGACGGCCACAUUGGGACUGAGAUACGGCCCAGACUGCUACGGGAGGCAGCAGUGGGGAAUAUUGCACAAUGGGCGGAAGCCUGAUGCAGCGACGCCGAGUGGGGGAUGACGGCCUUCGGGUUGUAAACUACUUUCGACCGAGAGGAAGCCACCUGGUUGGAAGGGUGGUGACGGUAGUGGUAGAAGAAGCACCGGCUAACUACGUG